rnacentral:rRNA from 1 species
AUUGAACGCUGGCGGCAGGCCUAACACAUGCAAGUCGAACGAGUGGCGGACGGGUGAGUAAUGUCUGGGAAACUGCCUGAUGGAGGGGGAUAACUACUGGAAACGGUAGCUAAUACCGCAUACCAUCAGAUGUGCCCAGAGGGGAUUAGCUUGUUGGUGGGGUAACGGCUCACCAAGGCGACGAUCCCUAGCUGGUCUGAGAGGCUGACAGGCAAAAGUGGAACUGAGACACGGUCCAGACUCCUACGUGAGGCAGCAGUGGGGAAUAUUGCACAAUGGGCGAAAGCCUGAGAGAGCCAUGCCGCGUGAAUGAAGAAGGCCUUCGGGUUGUAAAGUACUUUCAGCGGGGAGGCGUUACCCGAAGAAGAAGCACCGGCUAACUCCGUGCCAGCAGCCGCGGUAAUAC